rnacentral:rRNA from 1 species
GACGAACGCUGGCGGCGUGCUUAACACAUGCAAGUCGAACGGAAAGGCCCUGCUUUUGUGGGGUGCUCGAGUGGCGAACGGGUGAGUAACACGUGAGUAACCUGCCCUUGACUUUGGGAUAACUUCAGGAAACUGGGGCUAAUACCGGAUAGGAGCUCCUGCUGCAUGGUGGGGGUUGGAAAGUUUCGGCGGUUGGGGAUGGACUCGCGGCUUAUCAGCUUGUUGGUGGGGUAGUGGCUUACCAAGGCAUUGACGGGUAGCCGGCCUGAGAGGGUGACCGGCCACAUUGGGACUGAGAUACGGCCCAGACUCCUACGGGAGGCAGAAGUGGGGAAUAUUGCACAAUGGGCGGAAGCCUGAUGCAGCAACGCCGCGUGCGGGAUGACGGCCUUCGGGUUGUAAACCGCUUUCGCCUGUGACGAAGCGUGAGUGACGGUAAUGGGUAAAGAAGCACCGGCUAACUACGUG